GACGAACGCUGGCGGCGUGCCUAAUACAUGCAAGUCGAACGGAGUGGCGGACGGGUGAGUAAUGCCUAGGAAUCUGCCUGGUAGUGGGGGAUAACGUCCGGAAACGGGCGCUAAUAUCGCAUACUAUCAGAUGAGCCUCGGGGGGAUUAGCUAGUUGGUGGGGUAAAGGCCUACCAGGGCGACGAGCCGUAACUGGUCUGAGAGGAUGAUCAGUCACACUUGAACUGAGACACGGUCCAGAGUCCUACGGGAGGCAGCAGUGGGGAAUAUUGGACAAUGGGCGAAAGCCUGAACCAGCCAUGCCGCGUGUGUGAAGAAGGUCUUCGGAUUGUAAAGCACUUUAAGUUGGGAGGCGUUACCAACAGAAUAAGCACCGGCUAACUUCGUGCCAGCAGCCGCGGUAAUUC
rnacentral:rRNA from 1 species